rnacentral:rRNA from 1 species
AGAGUUUGAUCCUGGCUCAGGAUGAACGCUAGCGGCAGGCUUAAUACAUGCAAGUCGAACGGGAUUCGUUGUAGCAAUACGAUGAUGAGAGUGGCGCACGGGUGCGUAACGCGUAUGCAACCUACCUUUAACAGGUGAAUAGCCCCGAGAAAUCGGGAUUAAUACACCGUAACAUUGCGAAGUGGCAUCACUAUGCAAUUAAAGAUUUAUCGGUUAAAGAUGGGCAUGCGUGACAUUAGCUAGUUGGUGAGGUAACGGCUCACCAAGGCAACGAUGUCUAGGGGUCCUGAGAGGGUUAUCCCCCACACUGGUACUGAGACACGGACCAGACUCCUACGGGAGGCAGCAGUAAGGAAUAUUGGUCAAUGGGCGCAAGCCUGAACCAGCCAUGCCGCGUGCAGGAAGACGGCCCUAUGGGUUGUAAACUGCUUUUGUCAGGGAAUAAACCUAUCUACGCGUAGAUAGCUGAAGGUACCUGAAGAAUAAGCAUCGGCUAACUCCGUGCCAACAGCCGCGGUAAUACGGAGGGUGCAAGCGUUGUUCGGAAUUAUUGGGCGUAAAGCGCGUGUAGGCGGUUUGUUAAGUCUGAUGUGAAAGCCCUGGGCUCAACCUGGGAAGUGCAUUGGAAACUGGCAGACUUGAAUACGGGAGAGGGUAGUGGAAUUCCGAGUGUAGGAGUGAAAUCCGUAGAUAUUCGGAGGAACACCGGUGGCGAAGGCGGCUACCUGGACCGAUAUUGACGCUGAGACGCGAAAGCGUGGGUAGCAAACAGGAUUAGAUACCCUGGUAGUCCACGCUGUAAACGAUGUUCACUAGGUGUUGGGGGUAUUGACCCUCUCAGUGCCGCAGCUAACGCAUUAAGUGAACCGCCUGGGGAGUACGGUCGCAAGAUUAAAACUCAAAGGAAUUGACGG